UAUGUUAUAGUUUAUUAAAAUAUUAAAUUGCAAAUUUAAAGAUAUUAGGAAUCUAAUUAACAUAU
rnacentral:tRNA from 1 species